UACGUAGGGAGCAAGCGUUGUCCGGAAUCAUUGGGCGUAAAGCGCGCGUAGGUGGCUUCGUAAGUCCGUUGUGAAAGUCAAAGGCUCAACCUUUGAAAGCCGAUGGAUACUGUGAAGCUAGAGUACGGAAGAGGCGAGUGGAAUUCCUGGUGUAGCGGUGGAAUGCGUAGAGAUCGGGAGGAACACCUGUGGCGAAGGCGGCCCCCUGGGCCGGCCCUGACACUGAGACGCGAAGGCGUGGGGAGCGAACGGG
rnacentral:rRNA from 1 species